GCCGAAGUGGUGGAAUCUGGUAGACACGCUAUCUUGAGGGGGUAGUGGGCAACCGGUAGUGGGCAACCGUCCGUGCGGGUUCAAGUCCCGCCUUCGGCACCA
rnacentral:tRNA from 1 species